CCUUGCUGCCACCUUUACUGUGCCGAUCACCUCCCCUCUCCUUCCUCUCUCUAGCCCAUGCUCUCUCUCUCUCUUGGCAUCCCCUUGUUGGAGCUUUUAGAGAGGUGGGCUGCAACAUUGUUUAGGUGUCAAUUGGUUGGCGUUAAGUUGUUGUUUGAUUUCAUCUUCUUCUUUUUAAGUUGUUGAAAGUUAGUUACAACUACUUUUUGGUUGCUAUUCUUCUUGAUUAGAUGAGGGAUCAAGAAAAAUUUUUGGUUUCUUCAAGAACCAAGAAAGAAAGAUCAAAAGGGUUCAUAAUUUCAAGCUUAUCUAGGCUUGGUUCAAGCCUAUUCAGGCUUUUGGUUCAAGCAAGCAUGAUUAAAAGAAGCCUAUCCAGAUCUACCCUAUGGAUAUCUAUAGAGACAAGAUGUUUGUGCUGUUGAUUCAAAACUUAUUUAGCC
rnacentral:lncRNA from 1 species